rnacentral:rRNA from 1 species
CCUACGGGAGGCAGCAGUGAGGAAUAUUGGUCAAUGGACGAGAGUCUGAACCAGCCAAGUAGCGUGAAGGAUGACUGCCCUAUGGGUUGUAAACUUCUUUUAUAAAGGAAUAAAACGAGGCACGUGUGCCUUUUUGCAUGUACUUUAUGAAUAAGGAUCGGCUAACUCCGUGCCAGCCGCCGCGGUAAUACGGAGGAUCCGAGCGUUAUCCGGAUUUAUUGGGUUUAAAGGGAGCGUAGAUGGGUUGUUAAGUCAGUUGUGAAAGUUUGCGGCUCAACCGUAAAAUUGCAAUUGAUACUGGCAGUCUUGAGUACAGUUGAGGUAGGCGGAAUUCGUGGUGUAGCGGUGAAAUGCUUAGAUAGCACGAAGAACCCCGAUUGCGAAGGCAGCUUACUAAACUGUGACUGACAUUGAUGCUCGAAAGUGUGGGUAUCAAACAGGAUUAGAUACCCGGGUAGUC